rnacentral:rRNA from 1 species
CGGUGCAUGCAUGGGCGCAGCCUGAUGCAGCCAUGCCGCGUGUAUGAAGAAGGCCUUCGGGUUGUAAAGUACUUUCAGUCGUGAGGAAGGUGGCGUCGUUAAUAGCGGCGUUGUUUGACGUUAGCGACAGAAGAAGCACCGGCUAACUCCGUGCCAGCAGCCGCGGUAAUACGGAGGGUGCGAGCGUUAAUCGGAAUUACUGGGCGUAAAGCGCAUGCAGGUGGUUUGUUAAGUCAGAUGUGAAAGCCCGGGGCUCAACCUCGGAAUAGCAUUUGAAACUGGCAGACUAGAGUACUGUAGAGGGGGGUAGAAUUUCAGGUGUAGCGGUGAAAUGCGUAGAGAUCUGAAGGAAUACCGGUGGCGAAGGCGGCCCCCUGGACAGAUACUGACACUCAGAUGCGAAAGCGUGGGGAGCAAACAGGAUUAGAUACCCUGGUAGUCCACGCCGUAAACGAUGUCUACUUGGAGGUUGUGGCCUUGAGCCGUGGCUUUCGGAGCUAACGCGUUAAGUAGACCGCCUGGGGAGUACGGUCGCAAGAUUAAAACUCAAAUGAAUUGACGGGGGCCCGCACAAGCGGUGGAGCAUGUGGUUUAAUUCGAUGCAACGCGAAGAACCUUACCUACUCUUGACAUCCAGAGAACUUUCCAGAGAUGGAUUGGUGCCUUCGGGAACUCUGAGACAGGUGCUGCAUGGCUGUCGUCAGCUCGUGUUGUGAAAUGUUGGGUUAAGUCCCGCAACGAGCGCAACCCUUAUCCUUGUUUGCCAGCGAGUAAUGUCGGGAACUCCAGGGAGACUGCCGGUGAUAAACCGGAGGAAGGUGGGGACGACGUCAAGUCAUCAUGGCCCUUACGAGUAGGGCUACACACGUGCUACAAUGGCGCAUACAGAGGGCGGCCAACUUGCGAAAGUGAGCGAAUCCCAAAAAGUGCGUCGUAGUCCGGAUUGGAGUCUGCAACUCGACUCCAUGAAGUCGGAAUCGCUAGUAAUCGUGGAUCAGAAUGCCACGGUGAAUACGUUCCCGGGCCUUGUACACACCGCCCGUCACACCAUGGGGAGUGGGGCUGCAAAAGAAGUAGGUAGUUUAACCUUCGGGGGGACGCUUACCACUUUGGUGGUUCAUGACUGGGGUGAAGUCGACCAAAGAGGUAACACAA